GCCACUACUGCUGGGAGAAGCUGCGGUGGGCGGAGCUGGACCUGGAGCGCGUGCGCCUGUGGUACAAGCUGGACGAGCUGUUCGAGCAGGAGCGCAACGUGCGGGCGGCCAUG